GCGUAGCGAGAGAACGUUGCGUCAGCAACGGCCCGCAGGGCGAGCCACGUAGUGGCGAGUAAUCCUCUAUCAUCGACCA
rnacentral:sRNA from 1 species